GAAAGCGAUGCUAAUACCGGAUAAUAUCUUAAGUACUUCGGUUCUUAAAAUCAAAGGUGGCCUCUACAUGUAAGCUACUGUUUGGGGAUGAGCCCGCGUACCAUUAGCUUGUUGGUAGGGUAAUGGCCUACCAAGGCAACGAUGGUUAGCUGGUCUGAGAGGAUGAUCAGCCACACUGGAACUGACACACGGUCCAGACUCCUACGGGAGGCAGCAGUGAGGAAUUUUGCGCAAUGGGGGAAACCCUGACGCAGCAACGCCGCGUGAGUGAUGAAGGCUUUCGGGUCGUAAAGCUCUGUCAAGUGGGAAGAAUCCACAGGGUGUUAAUAACACCUUGUGCUGACGGUACCACUGAAGGAAGCACCGGCUAACUCCGUGCCAGCAGCCGCGGUAAUACGGGGGGUGCAAGCGUUAUUCGGAAUUACUGGGCGUAAAGAGCGCGUAGGCGGUCUUUUAAGUCAGGUGUGAAAGCCCGGGGCUUAACCCCGGAAGUGCAUUUGAAAUUAAGAGACUUGAGUAUGGGAGAGGGAAGUGG
rnacentral:rRNA from 1 species